rnacentral:rRNA from 1 species
GACAGAGGUGCCGAGCGUUAGGCGGAAUCACUGGGCUUAAAGCGUGUGUAGGCGGAUCGUUAAGUACCUUGUGAAAUCCCACGGCUUAACCGUGGAACUGCUGGGUAUACUGGCGAUCUUGAGGUGCUCAGGGGGCGAGCGGAACAGAUGGUGGAGCGGUGAAAUGCGUAGAUAUCAUCUGGAACGCCUGCGGUGAAAACGGCUCGCUGGGAGCAAUCUGACGCUGAGACACGAAAGCCAGGGGAGCGAACGGG